rnacentral:tRNA from 1 species
GGGCCAGUGGGCGCUAAUGGACAGCGUCUGACUUCUGGGAUCAGAAGAUUCUAGGUUCGACUCCUGGCUGGCUCG